ACAAGAUUUGCAGUGACGAGUGCAGUACUGGUACAUCCAAAGUACGCGAUCGCCUCCGCCGAAGAUAUAUCUAGGAUUGAUCCUGACACAUUGCUGAACAACACGAAGUUCAUACUAUGGCAGAGCACGAGCAACAAGUUUUCUAUGAACGUAGAAGAAUACUACCUCCCCUCGGAAUUCACAGAGGGCGUCACGCUCGCCAGCAUAGCAAUGCUCCUUCUACACAUAGACGGCAUAGGCGGAACUGUUGCCCCCGUCCUGCCUAUCUGCAUGCCUAUUCCUGGGACGAUGCAUACAUAUGACAAUUUGUAUGCCAUCAGAAUGAAUGAAG